UACGUAGGGUGCGAGCGUUGUCCGGAAUUAGUGGGCGUAAAGGGCUCGUAGGCGGUUUGUCGCGUCGGGAGUGAAAUCCACUGGCUUAACUGGUGGCUUGCUUUCGAUACGGGCAGACUGGAGGUAUGCAGGGGAGAACGGAAUUCCUGGUGUAGCGGUGAAAUGCGCAGAUAUCAGGAGGAACACCGGUGGCGAAGGCGGUUCUCUGGGCAUGUCCUGACGCUGAGGAGCGAAAGUGUGGGGAGCGAACAGG
rnacentral:rRNA from 1 species